rnacentral:rRNA from 1 species
AAUGAACGCUGGCGAUAAGCUUAACACAUGCAAGUCGAACGCCUUCGGUUCAUCCGAUGGAGUGGCGAACGGGUGAGUAACGCGUGAGAACCUGCCCCACAACCCAGGAAAAAUCCUGGAUAAGAAUAAAAAGGCAUAGACGGUGGGCGCCUUAAUAAGGCCCCUCCAUCCGUUGUGGGAUGGGCUUGCGUAGGAUUAGGUUGUUGGUAAGGUAAUGGCUCUACCAAGCCCAAGAUCCUUAGCUGGUUUGAGAGGAUGAUCAGCCACACUGGGACUGAGACACGGCCCAGACGCCUUCGGGUGGCAGCAGUGAGGAAUUUUGGACAAUGGGCGAAAGCCUGAUCCAGCUAUAUCGCAUGGGUGAUGAAGGCCCAUUUGGUCGUAAAGCCUACAACUGGGGCUUAGAUUAUGACAGGGCCCUAGGGAAAAGUCCCGGCUAACUCCGUGCCAGCAGCCGCCGUAACAC